GUAGGUGGCAAGCGUUGUCCGGAAUUAUUGGGCGUAAAGCGCGCGCAGGCGGUCCUUUAAGUCUGAUGUGAAAGCCCACGGCUCAACCGUGGAGGGUCAUUGGAAACUGGGGGACUUGAGUACAGAAGAGGAAAGCGGAAUUCCAAGUGUAGCGGUGAAAUGCGUAGAGAUUUGGAGGAACACCAGUGGCGAAGGCGGCUUUCUGGUCUGUAACUGACGCUGAGGCGCGAAAGCGUGGGGAGCAAACAGGGAUUAGAUACCCUGGUAGUCCACGCCGUAAACGAUGAGUGCUAAGUGUUAGGGGGUUUCCGCCCCCUUAGUGCUGCAGCUAACGCAUUAAGCACUCCGCCUGGGGAUACGGCCGCAAGGCUG
rnacentral:rRNA from 1 species